rnacentral:lncRNA from 1 species
CUGGUCUAUUUGUGUCAGACUCAAGUGAUGCUUGGCUUUGCAAAACCAGAGGCACAGAAUUCAAGGGAAAACCCCCUCUCUGUCAUCAUAGAGAAGCCUCUGCAAGUGCAGCACAAACAAAAGCCAACCUAGAGCACCAGGCAUGCUAUUAUUCAUGUGCCUCAAAACUGUAGGUUCAGAGGCUGUGAUCCCACAUCCUGUCUGUGGCACAGGAAAAGGAAGGAAGAAGGAGAGUCACGUGCUCUGGGAGCCUGUUCUCGCUGUGCACAUCACCGAGAUCUGAAAGAAUCAAGAUCUGAGGACUCACUCCCAGAGAAGCCACUAUGGGACCAAAGGAUAUGUUCAUCUGCUACCACAGGUUUGGUUGACUUGGUGACCCCCACAUGGGUGAAAGAUUUUUGCAGACCUCUCAUCUGCAUGGACUAUUACAAUUUUCAAUAUUCUGAUAGCUGAAGAACAA